GCGACCAUGGCGGAAUUGGCAGACGCGCUAGCUUCAGGUGCUAGUGUCUUUUAGACGUGCAGGUUCAAGUCCUGUUGGUCGCACCA
rnacentral:tRNA from 1 species